GGCUGGGGCUGGCCUCCGAGCGGGGCUGCAGCCCGCGUCCCCCACCCCGCUUUCCCUGCCCCGCGACCCCGGGGCUGCCCUCCUCUCCCUUUCCCGAUCCAUGAGGUCCAGCUCAGUGGCGUCUGCGCUGCUCCCCGGGCUGAGAGCCUCCGGCUGUAAAGCCCAGCUUCUCCUGGUGGAGUCGGGAAAAGGGAGCAUCAGUGCUGAGCGAGCUUCCGUCUCCUCCCUCAGUGUUUCUGCCCCAGUACGUUUUGGUUACUGAGACCCUCGAAUUCCCAUAUGAAUUGUAGCAGCAGCUAGUCAGUUUCUGCAGAGGAGACCGCAGGGAUUGUGAUCGAGACCACGUUGAAUAUACGGAUCGUUCUGGGGAGCACUGCCAUUCCAAGAGCACUGUCUUCUGAUCCAGGAAUGUACGUGGCGUGUCUAUCCAGGUGCCCUCACAUCCAGUGGCAUCCAUCCAGACACCAACACUGACACUGGCCAUGCUCAGAACUGCCUCAGCCCUGAAGACACAAGUGACAAAUAGAAGGGGGCCGUGCCCUGUUACAGCAGGUGCUCUCACUUUGUGGGUCCUUAUG